rnacentral:lncRNA from 1 species
UGAGUCAUUGGAUUAGGACCUUUAGGAAAAGACAAUUAGGACAAUUAGGAAAAAAGCUGAAGAUUCUCUCAUAAUGUAAUUCAUCAGGCCUCAGUUCAACUCAAGCAGGAUCUUAGUAGACUGGUCCCCCUACCUAAUAUGGGAUCUAGAAUCCAACCAUCCCUACUGCAAUCAAGGAAACAGUUUCACCUCCCACCUCUCACUGUGUGACCAAGCUACAGAGAACAACCUCUAAAGCUGCUUUCCAAGAUGAGGCCCAGACGGCAGUGGGUGAUGUCUUCAAUUUCCAACCAAAGGGCCCUAAAGGAGCCAGAACGGAUUUCCAGAAAGAGCCUUAAACCAAAAGAACGUACCUAUAAUGGAAGGCAGCCUCUCCUGGGAGACAAGUGGUCGUAGGAACCUUCUUUUUACUCCUCGGUUCACACCCUGUAGUCACCAUAAAAUUGCAACAUUUGAGCCAG